rnacentral:rRNA from 1 species
GGUUUUCACCGGUGCUUUUG